rnacentral:rRNA from 1 species
UACGGAGGAUGCAAGCGUUGUCCGGAUUUAUUGGGCGUAAAGCGAGCGCAGGCGGUUCCUUAAGUCUGAUGUGAAAGCCCACGGCUCAACCGUGGAAGGUCAUUGGAAACUGGGGAACUUGAGUGCAGAAGAGGAGAGUGGAAUUCCAUGUGUAGCGGUGAAAUGCGUAGAUAUUAGGAGGAACACCGGUGGCGAAGGCGGCUUACUGGACUGUAACUGACGCUGAGUCACGAAAGCGUGGGCAGCAAACAGGAUUAGAUA